rnacentral:rRNA from 1 species
AACGAACGCUGGCGGCGUGGAUAAGACAUGCAAGUCGAACGGGACAACAUCUGUAGCAAUACAGGUGUUGUUUAGUGGCGAACGGGUGCGUAACACGUGGGCAAUCUGCCGAGAAGUGGGGGAGUAGCUCGCCGAAAGGACGAAUUAAUACCGCAUAUGAUCAGUGAAGACAUCUUCACGACAUCAAAGACCGGGGCGAACCUGGCGCUUCUUGAUGAGCCCGCGGCCUAUCAGCUAGUUGGUGAGGUAACGGCUCACCAAGGCUAUGACGGGUAGCUGGUCUGAGAGGACGACCAGUCACACUGGAACUGAGACACGGUCCA